rnacentral:rRNA from 1 species
GGGGAAUUUUGGACAAUGGGGGGAACCCUGAUCCAGCCAUGCCGCGUGUAUGAAGAAGGCCUUCGGGUUGUAAAGUACUUUUGUUAGGGAAGAAAAGCUUGCUGCUAAUAUCAGUGAGUGCUGACGGUACCUAAAGAAUAAGCACCGGCUAACUACGUGCCAGCAGCCGCGGUAAUACGUAGGGUGCAAGCGUUAAUCGGAAUUACUGGGCGUAAAGCGAGCGCAGGCGGUUAUUUAAGUCAGGUGUGAAAUCCCCGAGCUCAACUUGGGAAUUGCGCUUGAAACUGGGUAACUAGAGUGUGUCAGAGGGGGGUAGAAUUCCACGUGUAGCAGUGAAAUGCGUAGAGAUGUGGAGGAAUACCGAUGGCGAAGGCAGCCCCCUGGGAUAACACUGACGCUCAUGCUCGAAAGCGUGGGUAGCAAAC